rnacentral:rRNA from 1 species
AGGACGAACACUGGCGGCGUGCUUAACACAUGCAAGUCGAGCGAGGCCCCUCCUUCGGGAGGGUGUCCUAGCGGCGAACGGGUGAGUAACACGUGGGCAACCUGCCCUCAGCUCUGGGAUAACCCCGGGAAACCGGGGCUAAUACCGGAUACGACCUCCACGGGCAUCUGCGGAGGUGGAAAGGUUUUUCUGGCUGAGGAUGGGCCCGCGGCCUAUCAGCUAGUUGGUGGGGUAAUGGCCUACCAAGGCAACGAUCAGUA